GACACCCCGCAGCUGCCUGGCUGGGCUGGAGCUCUGUGGGACAGGGUGGGAAAUUUUGCUACCUCUGCAGGCUGGCACAGACUGAGAGGAGGAGACGGACGACGAUACACAGACUGAUAGAGAAGAAGCCAUGGAAGUGGACGGAGAGGAUACUGGAGAGCAAGAGAUGGAUGUGGAUAUGUACGAGACAGAGGAAGAGAUGGAGGUGGAAACGUAAGAUUAUAUUGAAGAGAUGGAUAUUGAUCUAAAAGACAAGGAGGAAGACAUGGUCUUGGGAUGAAGACGGAUGCCAGCAGCAGAACAGGCAGGACUUAGGGACAUCACAGACACAGAUGCCACCCUGCUGUACAUACGUUUUACAGUUGUUGUGUUCAGGAUAGAGGUUUUAGAGCUUGUUUAAGUUGUCUGUAAAUACGUUUCAUAGAGUUUUGUUAGAUCUGUUCUCAGGUAAAUAGGUUCUAUAGUUUGUUGUUGUUGUUGUUGUUGUUGUUGUUGUUGUUACCAAUAUUCUUACAGUGUAAAUAUGUGGUGUAGUUCAUUCUUGUUCCUUUUCUUCUACAGAUAAACAGUCUUUGAUUUUCACA